UAUGGAGUAGUAUAUUUGUAUGGUAAUUUUUGGUUUUAUUGGUAAAAGAUAUGUUCUUUUCUCCAUAA
rnacentral:tRNA from 1 species